ensembl:snoRNA
AGCCUUCUGUGGUUCAUAAGCCUGGUGAUCGGGUUUUCACCCUAUUGUGUGAGAGAUGCCUCCCUCAAACCUUGUUAGCUCAUCAGCGUCUGCGU